AAGUUGCUGACAGCCUGUAGCUGAGCAGAUAAGUGCACCUCAGGAACGAUUCGUAUGUAUUUCCAUGUCUGGCCACCAUUUUGACCCAUAGCCUUGACUCACUUGGACUACAGUUUCUGUCUGCUGACACUGAGGAAAUACUUCACAGAAGAUUUUACCUCAAUGAUGCAGAUCCCUUACUAACACGAGCAUUCUCAUCUUCCAAGCUCCCGCACAAACAGCCC